rnacentral:rRNA from 1 species
AGUGCGAUACUUGGUGUGAAUUGCAGAAUCCCGUGAACCAUCGAGUUUUUGAACGCAAGUUGCGCCCGAGGCGUCUCCGCCGAGGGCACGCCUGCCUGGGCGUCGCGCAUCG